rnacentral:pre_miRNA from 1 species
CGUGCAGGGGGGGGGUGUUCCUCAGCCCAGCUUGCGAGAGGGCACCGGCCAGGCUGAGGGACCCCUCCAGUGCAUG